rnacentral:tRNA from 1 species
GGGCCUGUAGUUUAAGGGUAGAACACGUUGCUCAUAACAACGCCAAUGCAGGUUCAACCCCUGCCAGGCCCA